rnacentral:rRNA from 1 species
UACGGAGGGUGCAAGCAUUGAUCGGAAUUACUGGGCGUAAAGGGCGCGUAGGCGGUUUGAUAAGUCAGAUGUGAAAUUCCGGGGCUCAACCCCGGAGCUGCAUUUGAAACUAUCUGACUAGAGUACAGUUAGGGUAAACGGAAUUCCUCGUGUAGCGGUGAAAUGCGUAGAUAUGAGGAAGAACACCGGUGGUGAAGACGGUUUACUGGGCUGAAACUGACGCUGAGGCGCGAAAGCAAGGGGAGCAAACAGG